UGUAGUCAUAUGCUUGUCUCAAAGAUUAAGCCAUGCAUGUCUAAGUAUAAGCAAUCUAUACAGUGAAACUGCGAAUGGCUCAUUAAAUCAGUUAUCGUUUAUUUGAUAGUACCUUACUACUUGGAUAACCGUGGUAAUUCUAGAGCUAAUACAUGCUAAAAACCUCGACUUCGGAAGGGGUGUAUUUAUUAGAUAAAAAACCAAUGCCCUUCGGGGCUCCUUGGUGAUUCAUGAUAACUUAACGAAUCGCAUGGCCUUGUGCCGGCGAUGGUUCAUUCAAAUUUCUGCCCUAUCAACUUUCGAUGGUAAGGUAUUGGCUUACCAUGGUUUCAACGGGUAACGGGGAAU
rnacentral:rRNA from 1 species